UACGGAGGGUGCAAGCGUUAUCCGGAUUUACUGGGUUUAAAGGGUGUGUAGGCGGGCUUUUAAGUCAGUGGUGAAAUCUCCGGGCUCAACCUGGAAACUGCCAUUGAUACUAUUAGUCUUGAAUUUUGUUGAGGUAGGCGGAAUAAGUCAUGUAGCGGUGAAAUGCAUAGAUAUGACUUAGAACACCAAUUGCGAAGGCAGCUUGCUAAACAAAUAUUGACGCUGAGGCACGAACGCGUGGGGAUCAAACAG
rnacentral:rRNA from 1 species